UACGUAGGGUGCAAGCGUUGUCCGGAAUUAUUGGGCGUAAAGAGCUCGUAGGCGGUUCGUCGCGUCGGCUGUGAAAUCCCGAGGCUCAACCUCGGGUCUGCAGUCGAUACGGGCGGACUGGAGUACUGCAGGGGAGACUGGAAUUCCUGGUGUAGCGGUGAAAUGCGCAGAUAUCAGGAAGAACACCAAUGGCGAAGGCAGCUCUCUGGGACGGUACUGACGCUAAGACGCGAAAGCGUGGGGAGCGAACAGG
rnacentral:rRNA from 1 species